UGCCUGGAGUGAAGAUUCUGCCCAUUGGUCAAGAGACCUCCCUCUCAGAUGCUGGCUCUGCCCCUGCCUUUGGGGGUCGACCCUUGUACUCGCAGGACCUUAGGUGACUCUGACUUUGUCAAAGGAAAAAUUUCUGCAUGUGCACACACAGAUCUUGGAAGUUUAUUCAUCUCAGCAGAGGCAGACAGGAGCAUCAACAGCCUUGGGGACAGCAGCAGUGGUGGUGGAGUCUGACUCUGUCGCCCAGGCUGAAGUGCAGUGGCACAAUCUCGGCUCACUGCAACCUCCGCCUCCCGGGUCCAAGCCAUUCUUGUGCCUUAGCCUCCUGAGUAGCUGGGAUUGAAGAAAACUCGGGAAAUAUCAAAAACUUCCAAAAAAUAUAAAGAAUCAGAAAAAGCGGCCGGAUGCAGUGGCUUACACCUGUAAUACCAGCACUUUGGAAGGCCAAGGUGGGUGGAUCACCUGAGAUCAAGAAUUCGAAAACAGCCUGGCCAACGUGGCAAAACCCCCAUCUGUACCCAAAAUACAAAAAUUAGCCUGGCGUUGCAGCGGGCGCCUGUAAUCCCAGCUACUCAGGGAGGCUGAGGCAUGAGAAUUGCUUAAACCUGGGAGGCAGAGGUUGCAGUGAGCCGAGAUCGCACCACUGCACUCCAGCCAAGGUGACAGAGCAAGA
rnacentral:lncRNA from 10 species